GUAGCACCUUAGAGGCCAACUAAGUUUGUUCUUGGUAUAAGCUUUUGUGUGCAUGCAUGUAUCUGAAGAAGUGUGCAUGCACACGAAAGCAUAUACCAAGAACAAACUUAGUUGGUCUUUAAGGUGCUAC
rnacentral:miRNA from 1 species